UUAAUUGUUUUGCUUUGCUGUGUUUACAUUAGAGUAAAACAUUUUGUACAAAAUGAUACACAUGAAUGAUGGCAUCAUGAGAUGUUAUCUGUUCUGACACAGACAGGAUGACUAUUGUCAUCUGAACAUCCUGGCUUCUAUGGCAUUUGCAUGAAAAGAACAGUACUUUGCAUAUUUCAAAACAUACAUGCUCUAUUGAGUAGCAAUACCAGAGGAGUUAUUGGUCAGAUUUUUCUCUUUCCACAUAUUAAAAUACAAAGUAAAAGUUUUUACAUUUUAUUGUUAGUUUUUAUUUACUUUUUUUGUAUCUUAAAAACAGACUAAUGAAGCAUAGUUUACUGAGGUUGUUUUCUAUAUAUAUUUUUCAGACUGUGAGCUGUUUGUUUUUGAGAUACUACAGGAUGAGAAUCUCAGUAAUGCUGGUCGAGAGGCCAGGGAAAUUCUCCUACGAAAUUUUCAUGUCAUCCAAAAGAGACACCCACAAGAAUUCCCCCACAGAUUCGAAGCCAAUCUUGAGGACAGUUCAGAUGACAACCGCAGCUCCAGUCUGGGACGCUCUGCCCCCUCCAGAUGAUAUGUCAGUGGCCUCUGACUACCAGGAGGAAGGUGCUUCUGAACGUGAGUUCAAGCCACUCUUUGUGCAGAUGAGUGUGUUUACUCGAAUGUCUAAUGCAUGUAAGCUGUGAUGAGUUGAGACAGGAAACUUGUCUAAAGCAUCUUUAGCACAUUUCUUGUUGUGGGGGUUUCACUGGUAGUGAUGAAAUACCCCAGUGGAGGUGUUUGGUAACAGAUCACCCUCUAGUGGAUUCCCACAACUCCGCUGCUGGCAUUGAGGAGUGUGUGGAGGAGGAAUGGGAGGGUGGUCUUUACCCUCCAAGAGAUGAAGCUCUCCCUCUAGUGGCGGGCAAGCAGGAUGUUUGGGCAUGUGUCCUGAGGUUCUUGGGGUUAAGCUGUGGCAUUUUUGAGUGUGUUUAACAAUGGUGUCAAAAUGUUAGCUUUCUUGUCCUUCUGACACCAAGUAUAUUUGUACUAGUUUAGCCUACUACAAUUUGAAAAUGCAAACUGGUACGUAAUUCAAAGUUUAAAGAGGGAAAAACAGGAUGUACUACAGCCUGAAAAUAGCCUGUCAAAAUCUGUGUUUUGUGUUUGCUGAUCGUUUUUUUUUUUUACUAACGUGGGCAGUUUGCUGUUGCUUCGGGCCAUGAUCUGUGACUGAUCAUCCCCGGUUCCUCUGUAACCAGCUGGUCUUGAAACUCAACCCUGUACCUGAGGGGCGUUUUAUCCAUUUUCUCUUCUUUAUCACUCAUCAUACAACUGACAAUUUUCUCAGAGGGAUCAAAAGCCUGCAGCUUUGCAGAAAUAAGCGAAAAGAAAAAAAUUAAGGGACAUUCAAGUCAAUAGCAUUGAUCUCUAGUGACCGGCUCAAGAGAUGAUACUGUAAUCCAAUAAAAGGCAAAGAGAAAUCAGAAUCUCUCUCUCUUUCUCUGUUUUUUUCCCCCGCUAGAUUUUUGCUUCAUAGAACUAUUUUCUUCUCUUAACAGUUUUCCUGAUUGAGCAGGAAAAAAAAGUCAGGCUACACAAUUGCCGUUUGUGAAAACCAUAAAUUAUUGUUUUUAUCUUGAAUAUGCCUUCUUGUUCACUGACACGAAUCUUCUCACCACCCUGGUAAAAAUGAAAACUCCAUCGUCCCAUUUAUUUUAUAUGUUGUUUGUAAUUUAGCAACAGAAGGGGUCAAACCUGGAUGUGCUCCUUUGAUUCGCUUCUUUGCCGGAAAAUGCAUAUAAGUCAAAGAGGAGUAACUCGAAGAAAAUUCGCAUCAUGUCGCUCUUUCAAUAAAGAUAAUGACCAGCAAGGGCAAGUGCAGUUCAGGGUUCAUGUUUAGUUCACCAGUUGGGAAUCUCACAUCAAACGCAACGAGAGGACAUUUGGAAUUUGAGCAGUAGAGCAUUUCGGUGCAUAUGAAAUUAGAGAGAGGAAUAUAAUCAUGAAGAUUAAGAUUCAAAUGUGCACCUUUUUCAGCAAUUCAGAUUUAGUUUGUUUUCUCAUUUGCCUUUUAUUCAAUAAGGACGCUCCAUGCUGAGAGCCCUUUUUUGCUUAGCUCGAGUGAAUGAAAAACAAAAUGCACAUGUGAUAUGAAUGAGCCGGUGUCCUUGCAUGCUGAUAUUUUCAAAUUUACCCUAUUGUAGCGGAGGGUAAAUAUAGUUCAGGCAUUCAAUUCUUGCACCGUUACUCGCUCUGUGAUGUCACAUGCUCGCCUGUGUGAGGAAGGGAAAUUGACUGUGUCUGCUUGUGCUCUAACCUGACUGGAGGACAGGGCUGCAGUUGACUCGUCGAUGGGAGGAGUCAGUGUUAAUUCAUUUAGCCAGCGCUGCCUCCCUGUCUCCAGAGGGAGGUUUGACACUAGAUUUGUUAUAGCUGACAGGAACAGAUGGGCGCUCUAUUGUCAGGGCCCCUGUCUGUAUGGUAAUGUGAACUGAGUUUCACCCGCAGACCGCACGGUUGACCCCACCAUGCCUGCAGCCUCGUCUGGAUGACAGCAGCCCUGCAGCCGAGGAUGGGAAGCCCAGGGCAGGAGGAGCCUCACAGUGGGGUGGAUAUUUUGCCAGGUCAAGUUUAGGAAAUGCAAAAGUUGUAGAAAAAAAACAAUUCUUAUCGCUCUGAAUGGGUUGAGUAGUAGAUAUUUGCUUGGAAUGAUUGCUAAAAUGAUGAUUAUAUAUAUAUAUAUAUAUAUAUAUAUAUAUAUAUAUAUAUAGUGCAUUGACUUGAUUUAUGUCCAGAAACCAAAAGACCCCUCUCGUUCCUGUUAUCUUACCCCACCACAGCUUUACAGGCAAAACUGGAGAAGCCAAUCAGAAAGGCCAAGGAUUCAGAGUUAAGUUGUUUCUUAAUCGCAAAUUAGAUCAUCAAGAUGUAAAUUUAAUUUUUCUCAAGAUCUUAGAGCCUCUAAAUUAAUGGUUGUGAAAUUGAUUGUUGUAAUGAAUCUCUGGAGAGUCCAAAAAGAGCUUGCAUCAAUGAAAAAGACAUUUUAGCUUGGCAAUUAAGCGACCCUUAGCAAACUAAAGUGAGCAAAUAUAAUUUUCAUCAUCAUCACAGUUACUGUCAAGGAUUUUCGGCAGAGCUCUGUCCUGCAGCCUCGGAUUGUCAUAUUUAUCUUAAUGCAAUGGCAUGUAGAGGUGAAGCCAUGUGAUCAUAAACACCUUACAUGACCUCGGUGUUUGAGUCGUCAUCAGCUGGUACUCAUCCAUGCCUCUUAACUCCACAUGUUUACUGUGAGUGCUCACAUUUUGAGUGUUUCUUCCUCCCAACAGUAAACUUUUGACCCCUGGGUCUUGUUCUGGUCAAUUCGUGACCUGUCUGAACUCUGUCUAGGGCAACUGAGUCUUCAUUAUUGACCUCAGCUGCCAUAGAAACAGCACAUUCGAAAUAAAGUUUUGCUGGCUGGGACAAGAUUUGAAUCACAUUAUUAUUAUUUUUUCAAGAGCGUCCAUCCAUUCUAGUAAUCAUCCAUUAAUUUCCUCCAAUCACGAUUAAUAUUCUGCUGCCAUUUUGUGAAAGAGUAAAGUAUGAGGCAUUGGCAGGCUUCAUAGGGCACGUUAAAUGACUUCGGCAAAGAUGACACCAUCUUUCCUCUGCGCUGUCGUUUUCCCACCCUCUGUUUCCCUUCGCAUUAAUUAAUUGAAAUAGACACAUAUUAGACCCGAGCAUCCUCAGUGCAUCGCUGCUACUGCCAAACGGGUUCAAAAGUUCACUUCACUCUCAGAAGGCUACGAUGCUGCAGAAAAUGCUGAUAUUUGCUCUCGCUCUGUCUCUCGCUCAUUUGUAAUUUCACUGUUUCACCCAAACACGCUCUCACUUUUCCUCCAGCCCAGUAUAGUGAUCAUUCGGAAGAGAUUUUCAACUGUUAAUGUCGUAUCAUUGUCAGUCGCCCUAUUCAUUGUGCAAUGAUGAGUCAACAGAGCGUACAUCACUAUAUUCAUCAUGCAUUUUCUUUCAUUGGUUAGGAAAAUAUUGCUUCUGUGUUCGAUAUAAUAUGUCUCGGUCUAGUAAAAGUUACUGUGGGUGAGGAAAGGAAGUCUUUCAUGAUUUGCAAGGGAUGAAAUAAGCAGAAUAGGAAGUCACAACCUUGAGUGUCUAAUCUUCUUUGCAGCCUGUCAGUAUCACAGACAAAUGGCAAAACGAUUCAAUGCUGUGGGUUCAUCUAGAGGUUAGCCUUCCCAGGUACCUCCAGCUCUCUCUCUCUCUCUUUCUCUCUCUCUCCUCUCCCCUUACCAUCUUGCAAAUGAGAAUUUGUAUUUUUCUCUCCACUGGAUUCCAUUUCUGGAGAUUGAUGUAAGUUUCGAUGCAAGGCCCAGGUGGCCUGAUGCUUUCAUUGGGAAACAAAUGAAAGCGUGUGUAGGUGUGUUCGCCUGUACACCCACAGGGAGGGAGUGCUGUUCAAAUGUCUUCUAUGUGUCUUUUUUAGUUUUAGCUGAAUGCAGAUUUGCUCUCGGCUCUCUGUUGCAUUCUUAAUAUUUACAACUGCUUGUGUUUUGCAAGGACAUUUGUGCAGUGUUUUUAUGCUAGAAAUGAACAUUCACAGAUUCUUUUUUUGUCUUGGUAUUUGCUGACAUAAUCCAUUUGAUGUUUCUGACUCUCUGAGGUCUGUUCUACAGCAGCAUUUGGAAUGUUUUCACAUCUUUAAACUGACCAGAUGAACUGUUUUUCCAUGAAAUGUCUUUCUACCCUAUGAUUUGUCAGCCUGUGUAGGUAUCAUUUAUCUGUCAAAAAACUGAAAAUAUUAUGCUAAUUGCCUAAUUUACCAUAUGUUUUAAAUUGAGUGUUGAAACAUGAAAUAAUCAUAAAAGAGUUUUCCCCCACAUGGUUCUGAAUUUGAGUAAGGAGCUUCACGAGUGAGAGGCUGUAUUUAAGUUUGGGAGAUUUCUGGCUUGGUAAUGCACAUUACUGCAGUGUGUGUGAUAAAACACAACCAUCGGUGCACUGAACCAAAUCAUUUUCAUGAUGACUGGCAGGGCCAUGAUAUGACAUAUUCCAAUGUACAACAGAAAAAAUCCUCUUGAUGUUAUCACAAGAUGAGGAUUUUCCGUGAAGUGAUUUUUUUGUUACAACAAUGCCUGGCUGCAGUCCAUAAGCACCUUGAGCCAAUAAAAACACUUCAAGUUAACUUAUCCUGCUCUCCUAAAUUUUAUAGAGUAGCAUAAGAUGGAAAAUUGUCUCCAGAUUUGUGUUGUGUAUAUAAUAAAUUAUUUAAAAUGAAGCACAAGUUUUAUUUUAUAAAGAGGACUUUGCUUAUAUAUAUAAAGAGGACUUUGCUUAUAUAUGGCUGGAUUAAGAUUACAGAUGUGUAACUGUUGGCUCUUGUAGUUCUAACAUUUAACGGGUGAAGCCUUUGAACUCUCUGUUUAUUUACUCGAGGACACGCGCGGUGCUUCUGCACUGUGGACCUAUUCUGCGCGAUAUUUAUGAGCAAAUUACCAUGAAGGUAUUUAGAAAGUAUUUCGAAUGUGAAUUGUUCAUUUUGGUUAUUGAAUAUUGUUCUGAUAUAUGCAUACGGGCC
rnacentral:lncRNA from 1 species